UACGUAGGGUGCAAGCGUUGUCCGGAAUUAUUGGGCGUAAAGAGCUUGUAGGCGGUUUGUCGCGUCUGCUGUGAAAUUUCGGGGCUCAACCCCGAACUUGCAGUGGGUACGGGCAGACUAGAGUGUGGUAGGGGAGACUGGAAUUCCUGGUGUAGCGGUGAAAUGCGCAGAUAUCAGGAGGAACACCUAUGGCGAAGGCAGCUCUCUGGGACGGUACUGACGCUGAGACGCGAAAGCGUGGGGAGCGAACAGG
rnacentral:rRNA from 1 species